rnacentral:lncRNA from 1 species
CUCAAACUGGACUAGGUCCACAAUGCUGGUAGUGAUGCUCACAGGACUGGGAGGUCGGGACUCAAGAAUAACGGGACAAACAGGAUUACUGGGCCUCACUUUUCUCCUAGUGGUGCUCCGAGGGUUGCUCGGCCUCCCCUCAGGUCUGGAAGGCUGUACAUAAGACUGGACCAGGCCAACGGGGCUAACAGGCCGUCUAUUGGGGGGCCGAGGGUUGCUUGGCCUCCCCUCAGGUCUGGAAGGCUGUACGUCAGGCUGGACCAGGACAACUGGUCUAACAGGCCGUCUAGUGGGGCGUCGAGAGUUGCUUGGCCUCCCCUCAGGUCUGGAAGGCUGUACGUCAGGCUGGACCAGGACAACUGGUCUAACAGGCCAUCUAGUGGGGCGUCGAGAGUUGCUUGGCCUCCCCUCAGGUCUGGAAGGCUGUACGUCAGGCUGGACCAGGACAACUGGUCUAACAGGCCGUCUUGUGGGGCGUCGAGGGUUGCUAGGCCUCCCCUCAGGUCUAGUGAUGCUGACAGGGAUUCUAGGAAUCAUCAUCUCAUGCUGGUGCAGGCUCUCUGGGCUGCUGGGCCGGGGAAUCAGGUAGAAGCUUGUAGUUCUUCAGAACCUCAGUGAAGGAGAGCUCCUUGUUGCGCCUGCGUCUGUUGGUUUUGGCAGGCAGCUGGGAGCUGCUGCUGUUAAUCCAACCGGGAGACUCACGACAUCCAUCCUGGACAGGAACUAGGGACUGGAGGUCUCUCCUCUUUCUGUGGGCAGCUGUGGGCCUCUUGGACCAGACGUCGUCAGGAGGGGGAGGCCGAGGCACAACAUGCAGGGAGGGGAACGCUGAGGGCCUGAAAGAGGAGGCCAUCACUGGG